ACGCAGCUGACGAGUCCCAAAUAGGACGAAACACGCGUCUUAGAU
rnacentral:hammerhead_ribozyme from 1 species